rnacentral:rRNA from 1 species
UAGCAUAAUCAUUAGUUUUUUAAUUGAAGACUAGAAUGAAAGGUUUAAUAAGAAAAAUUCUUUAUUAGGUUAAAAAAAUAUAAAUUGAAUUUGUUUUUUCAGUUAAAAAACUGAAAUAAAAAAAAAGACGAUAAGACCCUAUAAAGCUUUAUAUUUUUUUUUAUUAAAAUUUUAAAAAAGAAAAAAAUUUAAUAUUUUAAAAAAAAAUAUUUUAUUGGGGUGAUAAAAAGAUUAAUUUAACUCUUUUAUUUUAUAUUUUUCAAUUUUUAUUGUUUUAAGAUCUUAAAAUUUAAAUUUUUAAAAUUAGUUACUUUAGGGAUAACAGCGUUAUUUUUUUAAAGAGUUCAUAUCGAUAAAAAAGAUUGCGACCUCGAUGUUGAAUUAAGAAAAUUAUUAGGUGUAGAAGUUUAAUUAUU